UAUUUUUACGCAUGUUUAUCAGCAAUUUGAGAGAGACUGUUACACAGUUGCUGUGGUUUGCAAAACAUGGGCAUGUGAUCUACUCCUUCCAUCUUGAUCACUUCUUCAACAGGAUUAUUUUCAAUCAUCCAUUCUUGAAAUUCUUUAGGUAUUGCCUUGUCUUCUUCGCAUCUAAUAUACACUUUUUUAACAGAUCCAUAUCCUUCACUUGAGAAUUUUUUUGCCAUUGACAAAUCAUGUUGAAACAAUGAUGAUGGCCUUGUCAAAGUCUUUGCCAACUCAAGAUCCUUCAAGAAAAUGCAAAUUUUGAAAUGUAAUUAGAUUUUUGGCCUUUUUAAAAGAUAUGGAUAGAAGAAAACAUGGACUCGUAACAUAAAAACAAAAGAAAGAAAGAAAGAUAAGACAGAAAGAAGAAGUACCUCUAUCGGUGUCAGCUGAUAGAGCUUGGAGGAUAAGAAUUUGGGGCCGAAAAACAUUGUCGAAAGAUGCGGUAAGGAGGUGCUAUAGGGCAGGAAUUGUGUGUCCAACCAUGCCUCACUUGGGGUCCUUUCAUUGUACUGUAUUUAAUCAAGAAACAAACGUACGAUGAGCUCAAACAUAUACGAGAAACCUAGCUCUGGUUUUUGUUUUUUUUUUUUUUUUAAAUCUUACUAAGAUUGAAAAUAAGAUUUAGCUUCCUUUUUCAGAAAAUUAUGCAACAAGAAUUUCUUGUCUGUCUAAUGAACAUGGGACAGAGAGUUAAAAUCCUAACAGCUCCGACGCCUUCUAAACAUGCCAAUUAAUGAAACACGUAUACCUUUUGCAGGACAAAUGAUGGCUGGUGGACUGAAUCCGGCAAGAAAGCAGUCAAGAAAACAGCAACAGAAAUCUUUUCUGGAAAUUUUUCCAUUGCAAGAGCCAAAUUCAGACCACCAAGGCUGUGACCAACAAGUAUAACCCUUUCAUCUGAUUGGAGUGAAGCCAAAAACUCUAACAAAGGCUUUGAGUAAUCACCAAAAGUCUGAAUUUCUUGAAUUGCCUUCAUGUUGAUGCCAGAAGCCGCCAGGUCAAGCGCCGUGACACGGUAGCCAGCGGAUUCAAGACGUGGCUUCAACUUGUACCAGCACCAAGCUCCAUGGCAUGCACCGUGGACUAGAACAAAAUGUUUUUGUUUCUUGGAACCUGCCAUCUUUAAUUGCUUAAUGUGUGGUCUAAGAUCGCCAUUUUCCUUACAUUUAUAGUAAUAUGAAAGAAGGUGUUAACGAGAAAACUGUCAGGAAAUUGUAAGUCCACUGUCUGAACAUUUUCCACAAGGCAACAACUAGCUCUAAUUAAAUUUUCUUGAUACAGUUUUAUUAGUAAAAAAUCAAAAUUGAAAAUUAGUUGGUGGGAGCUAGCUGUUGUUUGCUUUCCAAAUUGAGAGGUGGGAUUUGAAAUUUCAAACAUAGGAAACGUAUCACCGACAACUCACAACAGUGAGUCAGUGACUAAAAAGUAAAAGUAAUUGAUUUUUGGAGGCAGUCAAUUAUUGAAUUUCGAACAAAAUUUGAUUUGGGUAAGUAAGAAUUGGACGUUAUAGAAAUUUCACAUUGUCAGAAAAAUUCAGGAAACUUCAUUUCUAUUUUUUUUUUUUUUUUCAUAUGUAUUAGAAUUAUAUUUUUUCAGUUCCAAAGAACAAAAAUAGAUUGAAAUCACAUAAAAAUUUAAAUAAUAUCAAUAUUUUUAAUCAUCUUCUUUAAAUAUUUUUAUUUUCACUCAAAUAUAAAUAAUUAUAAUUCUUUCUAAAAUUUAUUUAUCGGAAAAAUUUGUUAAUCAAAAUAUUAAAUGUCGAUUAUCAAAUGGCGUAGAGAUUCUGAAAAAAGAUUGUGAAGUAUUUCAUAAUGUUUUAUAAACAUUUUGAUUAUUACUUUUUUCAUUCCUUUUUUAUUCUUUGUUUUUUUUUUUUUUAGUUAUUGCAAUAUAAUCAGGUCUAAAUUGUUGGAUGCAAGUCUCAAGAUGUAAUUAUUAAUCCGGAGAAAAAAAUUUUAAAAUAUUUUUUAGAUUAAAUCACUCAAAUUUAUUUUAUUAUAUGAUUAGGAAUAAUUGCUCACAAAGUUCAUCAUAUAUCACUUAAUUAGUCAUUCCAUCACGAGCCCUUUUUUUCAUUCAAUUUUGUUAAAAUUACUCAUCUUUUUUCUAUUAUUAUUAUUGCUAAAUUCAAUUUGAUGUAUAUAUAUGAAUCCAAUGUUUUAAAACUAUAUUUAAAAGAAAAUUAAAAUUCCAACAGAAAUUAAUCAAUGAAAAGUAAUAUGUUUCCUUCUCUGACUUAUGACUUAGCGUUUCAAAUGGUCAUCACUGACGGCUGCCAACAAUUUUUCUUUUUCUUCUUCUUCUUCUUCUUCUUCAUUGUAUACAUACAAGUUCUUCAAGAACAUAUGCAAUAUUCAGUAUUACUACAGCUAGAAAAUUAUUAUAGGGGAGGGUGAAAAGUUAGAUUACAGUAAUUACUGAACCAAAUCUUGACAAAAGUUAAAUUAAUAACAAUAUCUAAUGAUACCAACACAAUCUUUUAUUAUAAUGACCCUAAUUAAUAUUUAAUAGUAUUAGCAUAUAAUAAUAUUAAACAAAGGCUCUCUAAAUAUUUUUAAGCAUGUUUAUCAGCAAUUUGAGAGAGACAGUUACACAGUUGCUAUGGUUUGCAAAACGUGGGCAUAUGAUCUACUCCUUCCAUCUUGAUCACUUCUUCAACAGGAUUAUUUUCAAUCAUCCAUUCUUGAAAUUCUUUAGGUAUUGCCUUGUCUUCUUCGCAUAUAAUAUACACUUUUCUAACAGAUCCAUGUCCUUCACUUGAGAAUUCUUUUGCCAUUGACAAAUCAUGUUGAAACAAUGAUGGUGGUCUUGCCAAAAUCUUUGCCAACUCAAGAUCCUUCAAGAACAUGCAAAUUUUGAAAUUCGAUUAGAUUUUUGUGGCCCUUUUAUAAAGAUAUGAACAAAAG
rnacentral:lncRNA from 1 species